ensembl:lncRNA
UAACACUGACCCUGUACAUAGCUGACAUUCUCAACAACAACAAAAAUUCUGUCUCAUAUUUCUUAUUUCUCUUCUUUUUAAAAAUAAAAAAAAUGAUAUUAAAUAUUGCAUUGUUGGGAAGGGCUAGCAAUUUAACCAUUUCACUGUACUUGUGCAUGUGACAAAGAAAACUUGAAACUUGAAAUGUACAGUCAGUGUGUUAUAUAUGUGUUAUAUAAAUAUGGGCAGGGUUGGCUAUUAUCCACUCAUUAGCCAUACAGUAGCCCAACCUUGAAUGAGAGACCAGCUAAGUCGGUAAUGCUUUACAGCUAUUUGCAGUUGAUUGCGUUUAAUACACUGCUUUUAUUACUUACUAUAGUCAUUUUUUAUUUAACAUCUUGAGAUGGGAAAACGUGUUUAUUCUGAAGUUGAACAUGUUUUUUAUGACCUAAUGUUAAACUUAGGUAAAAUCACAAGUUUUCUUUUGACACUUCUCAAACGUGAAGAUCUAAUAAACUUUUCAGCGACAUACAUAUGCUAUUUUAAACAAACACAUUCAGUGUUUUACGAUUUUAGAUGGAAAAUGUGAAAUAUGAUAAAUUGACUUUCACAAUAUCAAAAAAGAAGCAUUAAUAAAUAUGGGACUGGUACCAAUCUUAUUUGUGCAAUGUGGCUCAGGCUACGGCAACGUUUCUGUAACAAUUAUUCUAAAUAAAACUCGUCCAAGGCAUCUAAGUUAAUUAGCAAAAGAGCAAAAAGUCUAGUUAUAUGUUUGAAAAAUGUCGCCUACUAUUCUAUUCAUUUGCUAAAGUAACGUGUGAGAAAGAAGUGUUUUGCCACGCCUUCUGUCCUUCCCACAUAUAACGAAUAUAAUAUAUAUAUCAAACUGACACAGUGCUGUAAAUGUAGACAGUAAGAAAAGUGCUCUGAUGAUAGUGACUGAUCACACAUGGUUGCUACAAGGCCCCUUGUCUGUUAGGAGGACCAGGCUGCAGAGGAAAAUAUUCACUAGGUGGUAAAGAAGCUGGCUGCGGAUGACACUGAACUUGGCCUAAAGCGAGCUCUGCUGGUGGCUCCGGGAGGAUGCAGAUUUAUCUUUCUGCUAUGGCUGACCUCGCGGUGAACCGCGCGCUGGGGACGGUUCUUUUUUUCUGCCUGGCAUUGUCUGCCUUGCUGUGCAACGCAUAAGGGACCCCAAUUUGGACAUUUUAAUUGUGUAACAAUGGUGUAAAUUUCUCCCCAGACGUCACAAUGAUAAUGGCAUAGAAUAAUGGUUUUACUUAUAUUUUCUACACCACAAACUGUAAUGGAAAUAAAGUUACAUUUCGUUGCAUUGGCUAUCUGUUUACACGACUUAGUGAUAUAUGUCAACUAUUAG